AAAACAAUGUUAUCACCUUAUUGAAAGGGUUGAAAGAGUCUUGUUUGGAGUUGUGUGGGGUUGAACCAUUAUGUUUGUAAUAUUUCAGAAGUUGGCAGAAAAAGAAAAAAAAUAGAAAAAGAAAAUAGAAAAGAAAAAAAUGAAUGAAAAAAAUAGAAGGAUUUCAAUACAUACUCCUUCUAAAAAAAUGAAUAAAAAGAGGAAG
rnacentral:lncRNA from 1 species